CAACACUUGUACUUCUGUCUU
rnacentral:misc_RNA from 1 species